rnacentral:rRNA from 1 species
AUUGAACGCUGGCGGCAUGCCUUACACAUGCAAGUCGAACGGCAGCACGGGGGGUAACCCCUGGUGGCGAGUGGCGAACGGGUGAGUAAUAUAUCGGAACGUGUCCUGUAGCGGGGGAUAACCUAUCGAAAGAUGGACUAAUACCGCAUACGCCCUACGGGUGAAAGCGGAGGACCGCAAGGUUUCGCACUCUAGGAACGGCCGAUAUCGGAUUAGCUAGUUGGCGGGGUAACGGCCCACCAAGGCGACGAUCCGUAGCUGGUCUGAGAGGACGAUCAGCCACACUGGAACUGAGACACGGUCCAGACUCCUACGGGAGGCAGCAGUGGGGAAUUUUGGACAAUGGGCGCAAGCCUGAUCCAGCCAUGCCGCGUGAGUGAAUAAGGCCUUCGGGUUGUAAAGCUCUUUCGGCGGGGACGAAACGGAUCAUGCUAAUACCACGCACUACUGACGGUACCCGCAGAAGAAGCACCGGCUAACUACGUG